UAAGGACACUGGUGCUGCCGCAGCAAUUGUUAAAAAUGUUUUUAUAUAUUUUAAAGUAUUUUAAAGGUGUUUUUACUUCUUACGUUAUUGUACCACCGUGAACAGUGGUUUUUAUCUAUGUAUUUUUAUUUUGUUCUGUUUUAUUGUGGUUUGGGGUGGGGAUUGGUUUUGUUUAGGUAGAAUUGUUUUCAGUUUGGUUUGGUUUUCUAUUUUGUAAAUGGAGGCUUGUAUGAGGCUUGGGAUUGCUACCGUGGAGGGCGAGGGAGGUAUGGUGGUGGGGGCAGAUGUUAUAGGCGAAGGGGAUCGAGAUACGGAUAUGCUCGUACCCCUUCCAAUCUGCGCCCCAUCCCGAGGGACGAGGUAGGGUGAGCAAGGAUUACUCACCUCCGUCACUGGUGUUGUGCAAUGCCAGGUCUAUAGGCAACAAAACCGCCACUCUGCGAGAUUUCUUUACCUCGCAGGGGUUGACCUGGCUUGUGUGACGGAGACCUGGGUACGCGAAGGGGCAACAGUUACCUUACGAGAGAUGGCGCCCCGGGUUUCUCCGUCCUCCACCAGUCACGGACUGUGGGCCGGGGGAGGGUGGCAUUAUUAAUCCGGGAAGAUUGUCCUUUCAGGGCUCUACCAUCGCCAUCGAUCCCCGGCAUUGAAUGUGUUGGCCUAGUGUGGGGCUCUGAGGUGAGCUUGGCUGUCUGGCUGGUGUACCGGCCACCUAGCGCACCAGCAGCCACCCUGUCAGGCCUACUGGAGGCGGUGGCCGGCUGGGCCUUGGAGUUCCCUAACCUAUUGGUAUUGGGGGACUUCAACAUCCAUGCUGAUGCCACUCCCUCCUCACAGGCUCUGGACCUGGUGUCUUCCAUGGCAACACUAGGGCUCUCCCAGUUUGUUUCAGGCCCCACACAUCAAGCAGGCCACACGCUGGAUUUGAUCUUUGGCGUAGGUAUAGAUGUGAUCAUGUCUCCUUCAAUUAAGGUGCCAUGGUCUGAUCACUACGCUCUGAAAGCCAGGAUUGACUUUCCACCCCCACCCUGCUUAGGUGGCGAGCCGAUUUGGGCUCGCCCGCAGAGGCUGAUGGACCCUGAUAGAUUCCGUCAAGCCUUGCGGGACCUUGCUCCCCUGGCGACUCAUUGACUGAGCUUGUUGAGGGCUGGAAUACCCAGCUCCUGGCAGCCAUAGAUGAGAUCGCACCUAAGCGCCCUCUGCGACUCCGCAGAAACCGGGCUCCCUGGUUUACCGAGGAGCUUCGGAAAAUGAAGCGGGACCUCAGACGGCUAGAGCGAGUAUGGCGGGGUGCCCGUGACGGAGCCUCAAGAACAUCUUAUAGGGUUUUUAUGAAAACCUAUGAGAUGGCGGUGAAGGCCGCUAAGAAGUCUUACUUCUCGGCCUCCAUUGCAUCCGCUAGCUCUCGCCCGGCGCAAUUAUUUAGUAUAAUUAGGUCUUUAACGUCCCUUGAAGGACAGCCAAAUUUAAAUAACAAUCUGACACACAGCUGUGAGGCAUUUGCGAGCUUUAUCGCGGAGAAGGUCCUGUUGCUCCGCCAUGACCUCCCUGCCAAUUUGGAUACAAUAAAGGAACUGGAGGCCCCUCGACUGUCCUCGGGUCCAGUAUUGGACCACUUUGAUCGGAUAUCCCCAGCCGAUGUGGACAGACUCCUCCGAGCUGGAAAGCCCACCACCUGUCCUCUUGACCCGUGCCCGUCUUGGCUGAUUAGAGCGUGUCCAGGCGAGGUGCGGGCCCCUGGGAGAUAUCAUCAAUUUGUCCCUUGGCACCGGGAUAUUUCCAGGGGAAUUGAAGGAGGCAGUGGUGCGCCCGCUCUUAAAGAAAACAUCAUUAGAUCCCUUAGAUCUAUCCAAUUACCGCCCGGUUUCGAAUCUUCCAUUCCUGGGUAAGGUGAUUGAGAGAGCGGUUGCUGAACAGCUUGGUAGGUUUCUGGAUGAAACAUCGGCUCUGGAUCCAUUCCAGUCUGGCUUCCGCGCUGGUCAUGGGACCGAGACGGCUCUGGUCGCCCUAACAGAUGAUCUCCGCAGGCAGCUGGAUCGAGGCGGGUCGGGGCUGCUGAUUCUUCUAGACCUGUCAGCAGCCUUCGACAUGGUUGAUCACGAACUCCUGGACCACCGCCUUGCCGACGUGGGGAUCCAGGGCACAGUCCUUCAAUGGCUGCGCUCGUUUCUCUCCGGUCGGGGACAGAGGGUGGCGCUGGGGGGGGCAUUGUCAUCCCGCCACUCCUUGGUGUGUGGAGUGCCUCAGGGUGCGAUACUCUCCCCGAUGCUUUUAACAUCUUUAUGCGCCCCCUCGCCCAGCUUGUCCGGAGUUUUGGGCUGGGUUGCCAUCAGUAUGCCGAUGACACCCAACUCUAUCUGUUGAUGGAUGGCCAUCCUGACUCGGCCCCAGACACACUGACCAGAUGUUUGGAAGCUGUGGCUGGAUGGUUACGCGGAGCCGGUUGAAGUUAAAUCCUUCGAAGACAGAGGUCCUCUGGCUGGGACGGGACGAUAUGGGAUUGGGGGGGCAACUCCCAUCUCUUGCGUGGGUGCAAUUAGUGCCAGCACCGUCCGUUAAGAGUUUGGGUGUAAUCUUCGAUACCUCCCUCUCUAUGGAGGCGCAGAUUACAGCUAUAACAAAGGCGGCAUUUUUCAUCUCCGCCAAGCUAAGCAGUUGGCCCCUUAUCUCUCUCGCCCUGACCUAGCCACUGUGAUCCACGCGACGGUCACCUCCAGACUGGAUUAUUGUAACUCGCUCUACGUGGGGCUGCCCUUGAGACUGACCCAGAAACUCCAGCGGGUGCAGAAUGCCGCGGCGAGACUCCUUAUGGGGUCUUCGCUGCGAGAUCACAUUCAUCCGGUACUAUACCAGCUGCACUGGCUCCCGGUGGAGUACAGGAUCAGGUUUAAGGUGCUGGUUUUAACCUUUAAAGCCCUAUACGGCCUAGGACCCUCGUACCUACGGGACCGCCUCUCCUGGUAUGCCCCACAGAGGAACCUACGGUCUGCAAAUAAAAACAUCCUGAAGGUCCCAGGCCUCAGAGAGGUUAGGCUGGCCUCAACUAGAGCCAGGGCUUUCUCGGCUGCGGCUCCAAUCUGGUGGAACGCUCUGUCACAAGAGACUAGGGCCCUGCGGGACCUGACAUCUUUCCGCAGGGCCUGCAAGACAGAGUUGUUCCACCAGGCCUUUGGUCAGGGCCCAGCCUGACUCCCACCUCCGGCAACCUGCACAGAACUUUGCUUAACGGUUGCCAUUAAUUUGAUUUUAAUUAAUUUUAUAAUGAAAUGUUUUUAGAAUGUUGAUUAUUUGAUUGUUUGAUUAUUUGUUUGUUGUUAGCCGCCCUGAGCCUGGCUUUGGCUGGGGAGGGCGGGAUAUAAAUAAAAUUUAUUAUUAUUAUUAUUAUUAUUGUCUGUAUGGCUCUGUCUAGCAGUUUCAGAAUGAAAUGUCUCAAGAACAGUUGUUUUAAAUGACAUUCUUUUGACCCCAAGAAACUCAGAAAAAUCUAUCAGAAUCUUUCUUUGAAUUUUAGUUAGGUAUUUUUAUUUAUUUACUUGAUUUAGGGGGCAGUUGUGCCUCCCUGACCAUGCCCAUGGACACACCCUGGACCUCUUCAUGUUCCUUGAUUCUUCUGUACAGAACCUGUACAUGCAUGGAGAUCAGGGUCAAGUCUGCUGGUGCAAUUCUUCUUUCCCCCACCCCAUAUUCCAUGGGUUGAAUUCAAUGAAGUUACACUAUUGUGUGUUUUUGUGUAACAACUUCUGCUGAUGCAAUGGAAUUUCCCUGCUCCCCGAUGUGCUCCUAAAUCUGAUCCAGUGAGUUUGGGGAAAACCCCAGACCAGAGAAAGUUCUGUUGGAUGCUUGCACAAUGACUUUGCUGGAUACAACCCCCCUGGUUUCCACGCUCCCACUCCCCAACUCCACAUGUUCAGUGUCUUCAGUUUGUGUUUGCUAAGCCAUAUCAAUAACGUAGAAAGAAAAGAAAUCCUGGUAACACUUUACUGUUAAACCAAACAAGAAUAUUGCAAAAUUUGAGGAGUAAUAAAUUGAAUAGUUUUGUCUUUUUUACUUCACACCUUGUGUGUAACAAGAAGACAUUCAAUAAAACAUGCAGAGGAAAGCUCCUGAAGAAUCUCACAGCACAUAUUACCUCAGCAAAGAUCAUGUCAUUCUGCCUGGCUGCUAAGCAACACCGCCCUCCAAUUGCUCCUCUCAUGGCUACUUGACCUUCAUGCUAACAGUAUUAGUUCUGCUGUACUUCCAACAGUCUGGUCAUGUGCUAUAAGCUAUAGGAGUAAAAAAAAAUUUUCCCUUUAUCUUCCAUCCUGAAGCCAAGAGUUCUCAUCGAGAAUGAGAACAUCCCUGGCACAUUCAUUUUGUUAUUGAAAGCAGAGGCUUAUUUCCAAUGACAAAAAUGGCACCUUCCUAUUCUGUGCUUUCCUAUGCCCCAUCAAAUACAACUAAAUAAGUUGUUUGUUUGUUAUUUAAGCUGGAUCCUUCCGUCAGUCUCCUUGGUAUCCUUGACAAGUGUCCUGUACAGCUGACGGGAGCAGACAUAUAUGCACUCUGCUCAGAUGACAUGAUGUCUGCUAUCAAAAGAAAAGUGGCAUGGAUAGAGGAAGGGCUAGACACAAAGACCUCAGACCUAACUCUAACCAUGGAGGACUUUGUACAAGCAGCAACAAGGCUGCAGCCGUCUGGUUCCAAACCAGAACUGCUUAGAUACAAACUAAUCCAGCAGAGAUUUGCUGCUUGAUAAGGAUCCAGCAGGACCAGAAAGGAAGGGAUACAUGUGGUUGGAACUGUAUAAUUCCACUGUAUAAUUCCAUGGAAUCUGGAAGAAAUUUUUGAUGUGUUGUUGUUGGUUCUGCUGGAGAAAUGCAAACAGUGGAUUCCAAUGGCCAGGCCAGUGAGAAAAACUGAAAAUGGGAUCUAGGCAUGGAACUGAGACUAUUGGUUGCUUAGCUAGGUAAGAACUCUCUCAAGCUAGUCCUCAGGAGUUCUCAGCACCCUUGCUGAUAUAUGAGAAGUUCAGGUUUCUUGAACACCCAGUGGAAAACCUUUGGAUGCUAACAACCUGGGCCCAUGAAUAUUUGGGUGGUGGUGCAGUGGCUGUGUCUAAGAGUGGAUAAAUAAAAAUCCAGUUUCUUUGCCAUAAAAAAAAGUUGUUUGUUUGUUUAUUUUUAUAUAAAAAAGAAGAAACAAUAACCAUCUCACUGAUACACAAAGAAUGAAAAGCGGGUGGAGGGAAGAAUUAUGCAGAUUUCUUACAGGAGGGAAAUAGAGUUAAGGUCACUUUUACAUGACAUUGAAUAUUUUAAAAUUUUAAGAUAUGUAUUACAUUUUAACUAAACCUAGGCCUACCCCUUCUUCUCUCUAAGUAAUUUAUAUUCUAGAUAUGUCAUGGGGGCAGUUAUGAGCCAGCCGAGGCCUCUAAUAUAAUAACUAUCAGGAAAUUGUCCUGCAUUAUUCAUGUUAAUUAUGCUGAACCAAACACUGUGGACAGGAAAAUGUAUUUGCCAAUGAAAUAUCUUUUUGGACUCAGAGAUUAUUAAAAUUGAUUGUAUCAGGUUUCUUAAGAUUAGACCCUGAGGCAAUAAGGUUAUCAAGAAUGCCAAGGCUAGGACAGGGAGAACGGAUCUCCGUCCAUCGCUGAGUUGGAUUUGUUACAUCUGUUUGGUGUUUCCAGAUGUAAACACAAUAAGCUGUAUCUGAUGUAGCACUAAGUAACUCAUUCCAUUAGAACAAGGAUUUACAUUUUUUGCAACAUAACGUUGUCCCCUCCCUCCUCCCAUGCAUCCCCCAAAUCUGUUCUGGGCCUCGCCACAACGCUCCAGAGCAGAUUUGGGGAAGGUGUGAGGUGGACGAGGAAGGAGAAGGGAAGAUUUCUGUUGUGCACACACAAUUCCUUUCACUAAGGGAACAAGUACACUGAUACCACUCACUGGAUUGUACAUUAUGCUAAGCAUAUUCAGCUCAGACUCAUUGAAAUUAAUGGCUGCUACCACCUUAUGUUCAUUCAUUGCAAAGGGUCUGCUCUGAGGGCUGGUCCACACUUGUCCCAUGCCUAGCAGUGGUUUUCCACUUGACCCACACUUUCUAGGCAUGUCUCUGAGUGGUACAAUCAUCAUGAUAAAUAAAACAAACAAAGUUACAACUUAAUGAAAGGCACAAGAAAAUACAUGUUUCAGAACUCUUAUCAGUUGGGUUUUAGUUAAUUAAUCCGUUUAAAUAAAUUUGCUUCCUGAAUCAAGAAGCAUACUUUGUUCACAUUUUUACUUUAUAACCCUCUUUUUUACUUUUUGUUUAUUUAAAUGCAUUUAUGUCAUAGCAGGCAUCUUCAGAGAAGAAGCACUCCCUCUGAUAUUCAAGAAAAAAGGGCAUGCCUCUUUUAUGACGAUGCCUACCAUCCGUGGCUUUUGUCAGUACCUGUACUGAAAAUGAACUAUCUAAAUCUGUUGUCCAAUUAAUUGGGGCGUAUUUUAGGAUACUAUUUUCUCCUCACAGAGCUUAGAUAAUAAUAAUAAUAAUUUAUUACUUAUACCCCAGCCAUCUGGCUGAGUUUCUCCAGCCACUCUGGGCGGCUCCCAAUCGAGUGUUAAAAACAAUACAGCAUUAAAUAUUAAAAACUUCCCUAAACAGGGCUGCCUUCAGAUGUCUUUUAAAAAUAGGUUAACCAUCAUCCCCUCUUCCCAGGGAGCUCUGGGAAUAGUGGUGAUGUGUUGGGAAUUGGAGUCCCUUUAACAAACUACAAUUCCCAUGAUUCUUUGGUGAAAGCCAUGACUGUUAAAGUGGUAUGAUGGUGCUUUACAAGUAUGGUACCGAUGAGGCCUUAAAUUGAGAUGCUAACCAGGAGGGCCUGGUAGGCAGGGCCACCCUACUACCCAUGCAGCAAGGAGAGGUGACUGCCUCAGGCAGCAAGAUCCACAGGGGCAGCAGAUCCCAAUGUAGACCUUCAUUCCCCCUUUGUUCCUGAUGCAGAUCUUUCCUCACCCUUUCUUUCCUGGCAGGAAGGAGGCGCCAUUUUGUGAUUCCCCUCAGGUGCCAAAAUGCCUUGGGCCCGCCCUGGCAGAGGAGAUGUGCCCAAAUGAGUACUUUUACUUCCAAAAGAAAAAAAAAGCACCUUAGUUCUUGUUUUUUUCCAUUCUGCCAAGGAUGGCUCAAAUUAGGGAAGGCACACUCAGCAUAUCACCAUGUCCAUAUCCCAUUUUGCACCAUAGAUUCUAAUAGCUCUCUAGAACCCCAUUACGGUGAUAUCCUUGAGACUGUCUAACAUAAAAAGCAAAUUACCUCCCAUUGGAGGUGGGGACCUGAGCAUAACCGCAGACAGAUUUAUGGCCUUGCUGCAAAACACAGACACACUUGUUCUAGUUAAAAUCUGUGGUCAGUUAAACAGAUUGAUGCUCUGAAGACACUUAACCCUAAAGGGCAGAAGGACAAUGCCUGCAGUCCAAUUCUUUAUUGCUGUAAUUCAGAAGGUAUGUUUUACAUAAUUGUAAUUGGAGUUACUGGCAAGUUUUUAAUCUGGCAGGCAUGCACCCAGAAGAACAAUACAGAAUUGCUCUGCCCAAUCCCUCAUGACAAUAGUCUCAGUCCUGCUAACAGGAUAUUUCCUCUCCAUUGUAUUUUGAAAGACAAAGCAGGGUGAAUCACAAUCCCAUCUGCACUGUGCAUUUAAAUCAGUAUAAGACCACUGUAACAGUCAUUGUUGUUUUGUUGUUGUUUAGUCGUUUAGUCAUGUCCGCCUCUUUGUGACCCCCUGGAC
rnacentral:lncRNA from 1 species